CCUACGGGGUGCUGCAGUGAGGAAUAUUGGUCAAUGGACGAGAGUCUGAACCAGCCAAGUAGCGUGAAGGAUGACUGCCCUAUGGGUUGUAAACUUCUUUUAUAUGGGAAUAAAAUGUUCCACGUGUGGGAUUUUGUAUGUACCAUAUGAAUAAGGAUCGGCUAACUCCGUGCCAGCAGCCGCGGUAAUACGGAGGAUCCGAGCGUUAUCCGGAUUUAUUGGGUUUAAAGGGAGCGUAGGUGGAUUGUUAAGUCAGUUGUGAAAGUUUGCGGCUCAACCGUAAAAUUGCAGUUGAAAAUGGCAGUCUUGAGUACAGUAGAGGUGGGCGGAAUUCGUGGUGUAGCGGUGAAAUGCUUAGAUAUCACGAAGAACUCCGAUUGCGAAGGCAGUUCACUGGACUGCAACUGACACUGAGGCUCGAAAGUGUGGGUAUCAAACAGGAUUAGAUACCCUAGUAGUC
rnacentral:rRNA from 1 species